UGAUUGAGCUCCAAAUCAUAAAAAUGAUUUGUUAAUAUCAGUUGAAAAUGGAGGAAAUACGAAAUUAAUGGCAUAUGAACUGAACAUGAUGUGUAAGUGCUAAGUAAAGAUAAUUCUCUAUAUGAUGACUUGGGAUAGUAUUGAAACAACUUAUCACAAAAUUCGUAUCAGAGCUAUUGAUUUUCUGCUAAACAUAAAAGCAUACACCCAGACUCGUAUUCACAAGAUUCUGGAAAGUAUCUCCUUUGAAAAGAGACAUGGAUUUGGCCAGGAAAGCAUGGAAGAUAACAUUGAAAACAUACUGAAAUGGUUAGAGAUGAUUGAAGUUAAAA
rnacentral:lncRNA from 1 species